rnacentral:rRNA from 1 species
GAUGAACGCUGGCGGCGUGCCUAAUACAUGCAAGUCGAGCGAACGGACGAGAAGCUUGCUUCUCUGAUGUUAGCGGCGGACGGGUGAGUAACACGUGGAUAACCUACCUAUAAGACUGGGAUAACUUCGGGAAACCGGAGCUAAUACCGGAUAAUAUUUUGAACCGCAUGGUUCAAAAGUGAAAGACGGUCUUGCUGUCACUUAUAGAUGGAUCCGCGCUGCAUUAGCUAGUUGGUAAGGUAACGGCUUACCAAGGCAACGAUGCAUAGCCGACGUGAGAGGGUGAUCGGCCACACUGGAACUGAGACGCGGUCCAGACUCCUACGGGAGGCAGCAGUAGGGAAUCUUCCGCAAUAGGCGGAAGCCUGACGGAGCGGCGCCACGUGAGUGAUGAAAGUCUUCGGAUCGUAAAACUCUGUUAUGAGGGAAGAACAUAUGUGUAAGUAACUGUGCACAUCGUGACGGUACCUAAUCAGAAAGCCACGGCUAACUACGUG